CUUUAUUACAAUUAAAAAAGAACAAAGACAAUGUGAAAAGUGCCUUUAAUUACAAUGUACCUGCUAUUUACUUGUAAUUAUACUUUACCUAUAAUUAUACUUUUUAUAUACAGCUUGAAUAAGGUUCAUUACAUGUAAACUAUAAGAUAUUACAAGUUAAACUCCAGGCUUUUCUGAAUAUUCAUAAUUGAAAUACUACCAGGAGAAACAUAGAAAACAAAUACUCAUUUCAGUUCCUUAGGUACCAUUACUAGAUGAUCAAGAUGUGGCCACAGAAGAGAACUGGAAAUAUGCAUUAAAUCGAAAGGUACUCUUAACAUAACUAACAAUAUUGCUAUUAUCUAAACCCUAAACAUAAUUAACAAUUGGAUCAUUGAAACAAGACAACUUCAAUUAUAUAGCACCUUUCUUCCAAAGAGGUGAAAGCAUUCAUACUUAUCUAUAUUAUCUCAUUUGUCCCCCAAAUGUCCCUAUGAGGUAGGCAAUGGUUGGUAUCAUCCCCACAUUUAUAUAUGGAGAAAUUGAGGCACAGAGAAGUUAAAUAAUUUGCUUGGGGUCACACAGUAAAGUCAGGGUUGGAACAGGAACCACAGCCCUGUGUUCUUGUCUCCAAAACCAAUGCUUUUCUUUUGAUUAAGUUGUCUCAUUUGAAAAUUUAAUGCAACACCUCAAUUCACUUUUCCAAGAAAUAAAAAACAUGCACCUUGUUUUUCACUCAUAAAAACUGAGAUACAACAGGCAAGAAAUAAACACUUUGGGAAAGAUGGUAGACUGAUGUUACUCUCUCCUAGAAGGAGCUUGUGGAAGUUGUUUUGUUUUGUUUUUCUUAAUUCAAAGGGUUUCUCUUCCGAGUUGAAACAAAGUUAGAAGUCUUUAGAAAAAUUAUAUUUAAAAGGACCCUCUAGUCACCUACAAAUUAGUUUUAACAGCUAUAUUAUGCUACCCACAAACCAGGUUUAUUCCUGAGUUUAAAAAGAAGAAAAUAUCUAAACCAAAAAUUAGAUCUUUGAGAUAAUUUUUCUCAUUUAUACACAUUCACUGUUUACUCUCAGAAGACUCUUGAGUGGUAGACAUGGGCUAAUCUAUUUUCUGGGGAGACAAACAAACAUAGGGCAGGGAGUCAACCACAUCACUUGGCUCAAAUUUUCCUUUCAGUUCCUCCCCCAGUAAAAUAUGUAGUCAGUACUAAAAAAAUUUUUUUAAAGAGUGUCAGAACCUAAUGGUGUAGAAUGUUCCCAAAUGAUUGUGAACUUAAACCUAAAACCCAUCUUUCCGGGUAUUUUUCACAUGACUUUUGCCCACAAAACAGGCAGCGCUGGAGGCACUGCCACUUGCUGGGACAUGGGUAGGCUAAUGUGGGGAAGCAAUAGGAAUUAGGCUAGUGUGGCUUCAGAAAAAAUAUGAGAUGCCUGUAUUCCAAAAAUAAAAUUUUAAAAAGCCGGCCAGUCACCAAGCUUAAGGAUGGGUAGUGAACAUCAUGUGAGGUUCAUUUACUGGUUUCACCUAGAAAAUACAUGGAUAUUUGUCAAAGGAAUGGAAUUUGGCUUUCAGUUUUAGUGGCUUUACCUAGGGAAGGUCACUGCUGUCAUUCAAAAAGUUUUCACUACCUAAGCGGGGAAGCUAAAGAUUAAAAACAAUCCCCUCUAAACUUAAGAAAGGGAAAGGAAAUUGUUUUAGUCUCAUGGUUUCCAAUGUGUUGAGUUAAAGAAAGAAACUAAAUAAAACCAAAGAAUGACAUCAGGACACGAGUUGUGAACUGGAGAGGAGCUUCAAGACCGAUCUGUGUUCUAGCCCUAACUGUGUCCUAGUCCAGGGUAUACUAACCAGGUGGGCUUUACAAACAUGUAGAAAGAGAAUGAGCAGAUAUCUAUUUUGUUAAUUCUGAAAAAAAUUAUACUCUAAAAUAGCCAUUAAGAAAUGAACUACAGUGACUUACAAUGAAGUGUAAAAAAUCAAAACUUUAUGCACUCAGCUUCCUUAGUGUAUCGAUGAUGAGAACCUCAACUGCUUCCUCGCUCCAUCACCUUUGCCAGUAGGUAAAGGGUACCUGGUUUCUCACUCCAAAAACCAGACUCUUUGCCCUACGCAUGGCCCAGUUUCUCUCAGUAUCUGCCAACUCCCCAUUUAGAUGCUUGAACAUUUUGUUUUCUUAGAUCUGAGAGAGUAGAGCAAAGCGGUUAUAACUAACACAACGUAGGAUUACCAUUUCCCAAGGGGAGGGAGUCCAACAGCUGCACGGCUAAGAUAUUCUAUGCUCAAGUUUACUUUAAAAAUGAUGAAUUGUCAUCAGAAGGAUUUUCCCCCCUUAAAAACAAUUAGCUUUCUCCUCCUUUACUUGUAACACUGCUCUGCAGCUGAUACAAGGGUUUUCCUUCAACACGGUGGUCAGUGAGGCUGUUCCUUCCCUGGGACUUAAGGAGACACAAGACAGUCUCAAAAUACUGCAGGGGACAGUGAGCUUGUCACUUGGUGAGAGUAUGGUACUGAUAUUUCUGUAUUUGUGAGUUUGAUUCCUCCACAACAUUAAAAAAAAGUGUUUUCCAUGGUCCCCUUGUGUCAACCAGGCUCAUGAGAGGUGGCAGGAAUGUAUAUGGUUUGGCAAAACUGAUGACAAUACUAGCAUUUGCUUCCCUAGGCAGAUAUGGGGCCUCAUCCUCAUCUUGGUAGACUGAGAAGCAGGAGAAUUUGACGGGGGCUGUUGUCUGGUCAUCCACCCAGGAUGGAGAAUGUCUGUGUUGUCAGGCAGGGUCUGUAAUAUUGGGGAAUUGUGGCCAGAACCGAGGAAGAUAUGACACAGAGCAGCUGGGUGGGGGUUGGUGCUGUACAGAGCGGACAGUGAAAGAACCUACACAGGAGGAGCCAACACAAGGCAGGAAGAAAUAGUGACUUUUGUGUCCCCAUUCUUUAGACUUCCUCCUUAAUAAGACUAGAGUCAGGGAAAGGGAAACGAUAGGAUGUUGAAUCUAACAUGAGACAAUUCUGGACUUUUAAACUAAGGUUUAAAAUUCUUGCUAUUGAAAACAAUUUUCCACUCUUGAGAACUAGACAAUUUGAUCAUUUAUGAAGAUCUUUUGAGACAAUGAACAAAACUGUUGGUAAGUGUCAUUUUUUUUUUUUUUUUUUACUGUUUUUGAGUAAGCAGGAGUACUUUUAUUGUGAACCCUAAGAGAUAACGUGUUAAUUUUGGGAUAACCAUUUUUAUGAGGAAAAACUACACGAAUAACAAAAUAUCAAUUCCUAUUUCUCACAGACUUUUGUUUGGCUCUUUCAAAGUUACCCAGAAAACACGUGGUAUGUUAAUAUAAUACAAUUAUUUAAAAGGUAAUGGCAUUAAAACAUUUUACUGCUGCCAGCUUAACAUAUAGAAGUCUGAGGAACAACAAUCACCAACCUUUAUAAUCUAUCAUACAAGCUGAUAAGAGACAAUAAGAGCACAAUACAUUUUUGAAAAGCAUCCAUAAUAUGUAAGCUGUAAGCAAAGAAAACUCUUUCUGCAUUAUGAUAAAUGAAUACCAAAUUGAACGCUUUUUAAAAAUGUCUUUUUUAACAAUCACAUUUCUCACUUCAUCAAAUAUUAGGAAGAAUUUGAACUAUUUCUCACUUAAAUAAAAAGAAUCUGAAAAACAGUGAGGUAAUUGCAAAUAUUAGAAUGUAGAAAUAAACACUUAAAAAUGAGCAAUAGGCUUAAAGAAAAACAUACACAUAUAAAUGUUUGUUCUCUUCUGGACCAUUACAUUAAAAGUUAAUUUAGUAAUUCCAGAUAAAGAUUCUUAUUUAUCAUCAUUUCUGGGCUGAUCUGUUUAAGUCAAACAUUUUAAAUCUAAAUGUGUCCAACUUGUUUAAUGCCAAUAUUAGGAAUAAUGUAUUAAGAAAAGAUAUAGAGUGAGAAAAUACUACUACAAGAUAAAAAAUUUAGAUUUCACUGCAAAUAAAACCAUACUUGAUAUCACAGACACAUGUUCCUAUUUUCACACCAGUCACUUAUUAACACCAAACAUUACACUUUCACUUUUCCCAAUUACACAGUACAAUAAGCCUGUGAAGAUUCCUAGGAAAUAACUGUCAGUACCUACUGUGCUUCCAGCAGCCAAAGCUAAGCUGGUAGGGACCAGAAAUCAACACUUUGAGAAGAACGGCACCACGUGAUUACAUGGAGCAUUGAAGAAGGUAUCAUUUACUCAUUUAUAAAAUCCUAAUUUGGUCUUGAAGUGAGGCUCUGUAAUCGUAGCCAGGGUAUCAUCUCAGAGCAGCUUUUAUCACAUCAUAUUGCAUCACUGACUGUUGAUUCUGCUGUAAAACCUGGGGGUUUUAAAGAGAUUGCCACCAAAUGGUACCCAAUUCUGCCCCUACUACCUGGCAGGUGGGGCCCACCUUGCCCAGGGUCCAUUCUGGCUCAGGCUUCCUGUCUUGUUGCUUUUGGCCAAAUGUCUUCUUGAACACUUAUCUGAGAAGUACACCUAUUUACAUUUCCUCCUCUCAGGUUGAAUACAAAAUGAGUUACAUGUGUGACAAAACUAUCUUAAAAUAUGCUGGUUUUCAGUCAAGAGAAUGUUGGACACAAUUAAAAACUGGAAUAUGUUCAUUGGAAAAAUUAAAUGGGGGUGACUUAAGAAGGUUUUCCUAUAAUUACCAAAUAAAAACUAUGGAAAACUGUUUCUUCUAAUUCUGCUUUUAUGACAAAAGUUCAC
rnacentral:lncRNA from 1 species